GAACGUCCACCCAUAUUUCGCUGUGAAAUUUGGAAAUAAAAUAGAAUCUUUUAACUUGUUCAUAGUUCUAAAUUCCAAAAGCAUUGUUACAGCGUUAGGGUUUUUCCGCCCACCACAUAUAUUACUUACUCAGCGCUAAAUCGAUCAAGCAACAAUUUACCGGCGAUCGGAAUGGCUAGUCCGGUUGUGCAAUACAAUGACGAAACAUGUGGAACUUUUUCAGUCGAAGGAACCAGGGAAGGUGAAAAUGUAUGUUUGCGGCGUUGUACCAUGUUGGCCAUGCCCGGCCCGUGCCUAUGUCGUCUGCAACAUUCUCUACAGAGGUUAAUUCUCGUUGAUAGUUUUCCGGAGAAUGGUGGUUGAUUAUCUGCUGGACGGAAAUUAGAAAGAAAAGCCAAAUCCUGCUGAUUUUGCCUUGGGUAAGGCUGCAAAGACUGAUGUACCAAGUUGGAAGACUGGAUUGGCAUAUUGAGUGCGGUGCAAUGAGCACACACUAUCUAACACAUUCCUUUGAUGUACAUUGUGGUGGAAUUGACGUGAUUUUUCCUCACCAUAAGGAGUCGACUUUUCACUGUACAGGAAGUUACUCGAUUGUACCAUCCCCUUGGAUUAAGGUACUUGUCAUCAUCAACAGUACUAAAUGGGGUGGCUGCAUCUGUUGUUAGCGAUAAGGCCCCAGAAUGCAUUGCUGAUGAUUUGCAUACGCCUACAAUUUUAAAAGAUGCUCUUCAGGAUGCGUUUAUUAAUAAUUAUGUGAUAAGCCCACAAGAGUAUGUUUUGUCCUUAACUAAGAUUGAAAAAGUAGUGAAGGCAGUGCUGGAUGUCCUUGGAUUGCUUGCCUCAUGCUUGAGGUUUUGCAGCAGUUGAAAGAGGUCUGUUAUGUUUUCAAUCCACACUAUUAAGUUUGUGAUGUGUGUUCUGUGAAACUCUUUAAACAUUAUGAGAACAAACCAAGUUAUUGUUUUAUUAAGAUCCUCCUGCUGGAAAGAAAUCUAGACAAGAGUUCCACUGGAAAAACAGAAAAAUAUGCAUAAAUAUUAUUAACAGAUGAGGCACUAGUGAAGUAAGAGCUACUGCCAACAUGGAGUAUAAUUUUUGGAACUCUCACUAGGAUAAUCGAUGGAAUAAUGUGACAGAUAGGGGGUGAUCCUGGUAAUAUAUUGAGCGCUCAAAAAGUUACAUGAGAUGGACUCCAUUCAGAGGAAUCCAAAUGACAAAUUGCAAUUGCUUCCACUCUAUCACCAUUUUCACCCCGAAUGAAGCCUUUGAAUACCUUGUUCUUGAUAAUUGUGUAAUGAUAGUAGAAAAUCGCAUAAGUAUAAGUCAUGGUACGACAUGCCACGAUAUAAGGAGCUGCAACUUUUUGCGGAGCAUCCAAAAUAGUAUACCUUUUUGGAGGGGAGUUGAGUUUGAAACAUGAGUUGUGGACAUAGCUUUGAUUUGGGUUUUUCCUCCUAUGAUUUCUUGCUCAAAAUCAAGUAUUGCCUGUGAGGAUGUGGCACAGUGCUGCUUUGUGUCUCCCUUUAUAGGUGGAGCUUCACAUUCUCUCAAUGGCAUCUUCGAUGGCUUUAACUUGUAGAGACUAUUGAAGACAAGUAUUGAAGCUUGUCAAAAUUCUUAUCUGAGCUUUUUUUAUGACUAUUCUUGCUUUGUUAUAGCUGUUCUGCCUGUUAAGAGAAGGUCAUCUGGUAAAUUAUGUUUUAUAGCUCAUUGCUUCUGGAUUUUAAUCCAGAAAUCCACAUGUAACUUAGUGUUGGACUCAUUGCAAUGCAUGACUGUAAUUUCUUCAAUUGAAUGCUACUAUUUGUGUGUUGGUCG